GGGCUCACUCAAUUUAUUUUUAUUUAUCUAGUUGGGCUUGUAUGGUGGGCUAGCCCAAGCCCUUUUUGGUUAUUAUUUUGCUCUAGGGUUGUUGGAAGACAAUGAAGAAGGGUCGAGUGUUGAAUUGAAAUUGGCUGCUGUCGUUCGUCUUCCCCCUUCCUCUACCAUUCUUCUUCCUGUUUCUCUGCUGUUGUGUUCUUCUCGGCGUCUCUCUUUCUCUGGUAUUCUUCUCUUCUCCUCCUGCUUCUCUAUUUCUCCUGCUUUCUUCUAUUUUUCUCAUUUCUCCUUCUUCUCUUCUUCCUUCUAUAAAUCUGUCUUCCAAGUCUCUGUCUUUUCAUCCUCUGCAGAUAUAAAUUCGGGUUAUCGGGCAACAAUGCAGGCUUGCUCAUGCUAAUGGACAGGGGACCUCGUGUGGAGCAGUGGAGAUGUCUUACAAGUACACAAGUGUAAAACCAAUACUCUCUGCUCCUUAUCCAUCUGUGAAGAAUAUGGGCAUCUAUUUAAACGGAGAAAAUGUUUGGUACACAUAACUAGAUAGGAUUCGACCGAACAAUGGACAAGAUCAUUAGCUCUUUUUCCUUUUCAAUACUGUGAAGUACUAUUCCUUUUUGCAUGUGACACAUUUAUGUAUGAUUUCUCAAUCAAAAGCAGAUAGAACUUGGGACAUUAAUUGCACUUCCGAGUACUGCUUUGUAUCUGUCUACUUUUGUCAAAAGAUUUCAUAUUUCCAGUGAAAUUUAUUUAAGGACAAUUGUGAUUGGUGAGAUAUUAAGAUUA